AUUGAACGCUGGCGGCAUGCUUUACACAUGCAAGUCGAACGGUAACAGGCCUUCGGGUGCUGACGAGUGGCGAACGGGUGAGUAAUGCAUCGGAACGUGCCCAGAGGUGGGGGAUAACGCAGCGAAAGCUGUGCUAAUACCGCAUGUGAUCUGAGGAUGAAAGCGGGGGACCAGGCAGCAAUGUUUGGCCUCGCGCCUUUGGAGCGGCCGAUGUCAGAUUAGGUAGUUGGUGGGGUAAAGGCCUACCAAGCCGACGAUCUGUAGCUGGUCUGAGAGGACGACCAGCCACACUGGGACUGAGACACGGCCCAGACUCCUACGGGAGGCGGCAGUGGGGAAUUUUGGACAAUGGGCGCAAGCCUGAUCCAGCAAUGCCGCGUGCGGGAAGAAGGCCUUCGGGUUGUAAACCGCUUUUGUACGGAACGAAAAGGCUCUGGCUAAUACCUGGGGCUGAUGACGGUACCGUAAGAAUAAGCACCGGCUAACUACGUG
rnacentral:rRNA from 1 species